UACGUAGGGUGCUAGCGUUAUUCGGAAUUACUGGGCGUACAGGGUGCGUAGACGGCUUAUUAAGUCGGUUGUUAAAGACCCCGGCCUAACUGGGGAAAAGCGAUCGAAACUGAUAUGCUAGAGGUUGGAAGAGAGGAGUGGAAUUCUCGGAGUAGCGGUAAAAUGCGUAGAUAUCGAGAGGAACACCGAUGGCGAAGGCAGCUCCUUGGUCCAAACCUGACGUUGAGGCACGAAAGCGUGGGUAGCAAACAGG
rnacentral:rRNA from 1 species